CUCCAUGGUUAAUACCCGUGGACGAUGACAUUAGCUGCAGAAUAAGCACCGGCUAACUCUGUGCCAGCAGCCGCGGUAAUACAGAGGGUGCAAGCGUUAAUCGGAAUUACUGGGCGUAAAGCGAGCGUAGGUGGCUUGAUAAGUCAGAUGUGAAAUCCCCGGGCUUAACCUGGGAACUGCAUCUGAAACUGUUAGGCUAGAGUAGGUGAGAGGGAAGUAGAAUUUCAGGUGUAGCGGUGAAAUGCGUAGAGAUCUGAAGGAAUACCGAUGGCGAAGGCAGCUUCCUGGCAUCAUACUGACACUGAGGCUCGAAAGCGUGGGUAGCAAACAGGAUUAGAUACCCUGGUAGUCCACGCCGUAAACGAUGUC
rnacentral:rRNA from 1 species